rnacentral:snoRNA from 1 species
CUUUAUGAUGAUCUUCUUUUUGCUUCGGCAAGUUGGAAUUACCGACUGAGUAGCCUCCUGGCUCCUGAAGAUAACAAUUGGCUGUUUCUGAUU